AUUGAACGCUGGCGGCAGGCUUAACACAUGCAAGUCGAGCGGGGUGAUGGUGCUUGCACUAUCACUUAGCGGCGGACGGGUGAGUAAUGCUUAGGAAUCUGCCUAUUAGUGGGGGACAACAUCUCGAAAGGGAUGCUAAUACCGCAUACGUCCUACGGGAGAAAGCAGGGGAUCACUUGUGACCUUGCGCUAAUAGAUGAGCCUAAGUCGGAUUAGCUAGUUGGUGGGGUAAAGGCCUACCAAGGCGACGAUCUGUAGCGGGUCUGAGAGGAUGAACCGCCACACUGGGAAUGAGACACAGCCCAGACUCCUACGGGAGGCAGCAGUGGGGAAUAUUGGACAAUGGGGGGAACCCUGAUCCAGCCAUGCCGCGUGUGUGAAGAAGGCCUUAUGGUUGUAAAGCACUUUAAGCGAGGAGGAGGCUCUUUUGGUUAAUACCCAAGAUGAGUGGACGUUACUCGCAGAAUAAGCACCGGCUAACUCUGUGCCAGCCGCCGCGGUAA
rnacentral:rRNA from 1 species